UUUCCGUAGGUGAACCUGCGGAAGGAUCAUUAGUGAAUUGAAUAUGUUAGCGGACCUCUUCGGAGUCCCUAGCAUCAAAUCAUAUCCAUAACACCUGUGAACUGUAAGGCUGACUUGAAAACGAAAGUGAUUAGAGCGCCUGCCCAUUUUAUACAAACAUUAAAGUAACAAGCGUAGUCUUAUUAUAAUCUAAUAAAACUUUCAACAACGGAUCUCUUGGCUCUC
rnacentral:misc_RNA from 1 species